CCUACGGGAGGCAGCAGUGGGGAAUAUUGGACAAUGGGCGAAAGCCUGAUCCAGCCAUGCCGCGUGUGUGAAGAAGGCCUUCGGGUUGUAAAGCACUUUCAGUGGGGAAGAAAGCCUUGGGGCUAAUACCCUCGAGGAAGGACAUCACCCACAGAAGAAGCACCGGCUAACUCCGUGCCAGCAGCCGCGGUAAUACGGAGGGUGCGAGCGUUAAUCGGAAUUACUGGGCGUAAAGCGCGCGUAGGCGGUCUGAUAAGCCGGUUGUGAAAGCCCCGGGCUCAACCUGGGAACGGCAUCCGGAACUGUCAGGCUAGAGUGCAGGAGAGGAAGGUAGAAUUCCCGGUGUAGCGGUGAAAUGCGUAGAGAUCGGGAGGAAUACCAGUGGCGAAGGCGGCCUUCUGGACUGACACUGACGCUGAGGUGCGAAAGCGUGGGUAGCAAACAGGAUUAGAUACCCAGGUAGUC
rnacentral:rRNA from 1 species